rnacentral:rRNA from 1 species
ACGGAGGGUGCGAGCGUUAUCCGGAAUUAUUGGGUUUAAAGGGUACGCAGGCGGCCUAUUAAGUCAGUGGUGAAAUCCCGUCGCUUAACGACGGAACUGCCAUUGAUACUGAUAGGCUUGAAUAUAGUUGAAGUGGGCGGAAUGUGUAGUGUAGCGGUGAAAUGCUUAGAUAUUACACAGAACACCGAUAGCGAAGGCAGCUCACUAAACUAUUAUUGACGCUCAUGUACGAAAGCGUGGGGAGCGAACAGG